UAACAGAAUGUCAAGCGGCGUCUUCUCUUGCCUGAAACUGUUCAUUUUCAAGAGCUGAACGCUAUAAAUUAUCACAAGUUCUUCAUCCAGAUUUCUAUCUACUUAUAGCAUCUUUCUCUCCAACUCAUUUUUGUGUUCACAGAGUUUCUUCUUGUGGAAAGCAGGAAAACCAGGCAGGAUUGGUAGAGGAGACUAAACAUUGAAGUAUUUGAUAAGGCAAAAUAACAUGAAUUGGUUGCGAAGGCAGAGUGGCAGCCAAAUGAAGCAAGAUCAAGAUUCCAUUUACAAUGGAUUUACAGCUGCAGUAGCAGCAGCUGCAUUUGCCAUUCAGUCACUUGAAGAAGCUGAAACCUUAAAGAAUAAGAAUUGGAACAAAAAAAAAAAGAUGCCACAGCUAAACUACCGCAUUCAAAUGAAGUGACCAGGAGAUUCUCAUCCAAGAAAACAAAAAAUGGAGGUGAAACCUUCAUGAGACAGCCACUGAAACAGAAUCAUGAGGGACUAGAGAAGACUUAUUCAAAUAGAAAACCAAGUCGUUCGUCCUCCAAUAAACUCAAAGUCCAUGAAGAUACUCGUGGAAAAGCUGAACGCGAACAGAAUGACAAACUGAAAUCACUUCUUGCUUGGGCAAAGGUAAAGAAGACGAAAGUCGAACACAAAAUGGAAUUGAAAAAGGACUAAAUGCAGCAGAGAGUGGGCAAGAGACCUUGCAACUUUAAGCAUAACAUGAUAGAAUAAGCAGCAAUUCCUGCAGAGAGUGGCAUGAGCAAGAACAUAUAUACUUGAAAAGUGAGCUGAGCUGAAAGAGAGUAAUUGGAACUUGGAAGGUAUAGGUAUAUUACAUGAAAGUCUGAAAGCAAUAAAAUGUCUUUGUAUCAGUCAUAGAGGUGUAAUGAUCUGUCUGAUCAAGUUGUAUCAGCACAAAAAUCUCCAGAAUCUACCCAGAAAAAGGUAAAUGAAGUGAACUUUUUUCCCUCUGCCUCUAAUGCAGAAAAGUGAA